rnacentral:rRNA from 1 species
GAUGAACGCUGGCGGCGUGCCUAAUACAUGCAAGUCGAGCGAACGGACGAGAAGCUUGCUUUUCUGAUGUUAGCGGCGGACGGGUGAGUAACACGUGGAUAACCUACCUAUAAGACUGGGAUAACUUCGGGAAACCGGAGCUAAUACCGGAUAAUAUUUUGAACCGCAUGGUUCAAAAGUGAAAGACGGUCUUGCUGUCACUUAUAGAUGGAUCCGCGCUGCAUUAGCUAGUUGGUAAGGUAACGGCUUACCAAGGCAACGAUGCAUAGCCGACCUGAGAGGGUGAUCGGCCACACUGGAACUGAGACACGGUCCAGACUCCUACGGGAGGCAGCAGUAGGGAAUCUUCCGCAAUGGGCGAAAGCCUGACGGAGCAACGCCGCGUGAGUGAUGAAGGUCUUCGGAUCGUAAAACUCUGUUAUUAGGGAAGAACAUAUGUGUAAGUAACUGUGCACAUCUUGACGGUACCUAAUCAGAAAGCCACGGCUAACUACGUGCCAGCAGCCGCGGUAAUACUUAGGUGGCAAGCGUUAUCCGGAAUUAUUGGGCGUAAAGCGCGCGUACGCGGUUUUUUAAGUCUGAUGUGAAAGCCCACGGCUCAACCGUGGAGGGUCAUUGGAAACUGGAAAACUUGAGUGCAGAAGAGGAAAGUGGAAUCCCAUGUGUAGCGGUGAAAUGCGCAGAGAUGUGGAGGAACACCAGUGGCGAAGGCGACUUUCUGGUCUGUAACUGACGCUGAUGUGCGAAAGCGUGGGGAUCAAACAGGAUUAGAUACCCUGGUAGUCCACGCCGUAAACGAUGAGUGCUAAGUGUUAGGGGGUUUCCGCCCCUUAGUGCUGCAGCUAACGCAUUAAGCACUCCGCCUGGGGAGUACGACCGCAAGGUUGAAACUCAAAGGAAUUGACGGGGGCCCGCACAAGCGGUGGAGCAUGUGGUUUAAUUCGAAGCAACGCGAAGAACCUUACCAAAUCUUGACAUCCCUUGACAACUCUAGAGAUAGAGCCUUCCCCUUCGGGGGACAAAGUGACAGGUGGUGCAUGGUUGUCGUCAGCUCGUGUCGUGAGAUGUUGGGUUAAGUCCCGCAACGAGCGCAACCCUUAAGCUUAGUUGCCAUCAUUAAGUUGGGCACUCUAAGUUGACUGCCGGUGACAAACCGGAGGAAGGUGGGGAUGACGUCAAAUCAUCAUGCCCCUUAUGAUUUGGGCUACACACGUGCUACAAUGGACAAUACAAAGGGCAGCGAAACCGCGAGGUCAAGCAAAUCCCAUAAAGUUGUUCUCAGUUCGGAUUGUAGUCUGCAACUCGACUACAUGAAGCUGGAAUCGCUAGUAAUCGUAGAUCAGCAUGCUACGGUGAAUACGUUCCCGGGUCU